rnacentral:lncRNA from 1 species
UGCAAAUGAACAUUCCCCUUGGCUGGCGGCUUCAUUUUGUCUGCUCCUUAAUGUACACGUGGCUGGCCAAGAAGGGAAGAUGGAGCCGCCAUUUUCUAGCUGCCAUGUCUAGUCCCAGGUAGUUCUUUCCUGCCGGCAUUCACCGUGAAAGCUCCCAGCGUGCUUGUCUAUGUCUGCAGCUCAACUUCACAGGCUGCUCUUUGUUAGAAAAUGAUUUGGGGCAGCUUUUCAUUAAAAGAAAAACGUUACCAAGGACUUCUGGACUAUCUGCCUAAAUCUAUGCCUUGAUAGGUCUUCAGUUACUCAUGGUGAAACAUGUAAGCCUUGAAAAACUUUUUGGUGAGCUCAUAGGUUAUCUAUAAGAUGGUUUAUGGCCAUCUGUCUUAUAGGGUAACAACAUAAUUUAUCCUCCAAGUUUGGACAC